rnacentral:sRNA from 1 species
UUAAUCUUUCGGUUUUUUUUUCUAAAAAAACUUUACAACAUUGAGAAACUUUUUGGAUUUUGUUUUAGGUUUUCUUUUUGCUAAUUUUCUUAAAUUCUAAGGUUUUUUAUAAAAUAUUUGUUAUAAUUGCGUAAAAGAAAACUUUGGUUGCGUCUUUAUUUUGUUUUUCUAAAGUAUAAUUAAAUAAAAUCUUCCAAAUUAUAUUGCGAUUAUUUUAUAUAUAAUAUUAUAUAUAUUUACCCGUUUUGCAAUUAACAUUAUAUUGAAAAAUGCUUUAAUUUAUAUUGGAGUUUUAUACCACGAAAGUUAAAUAGGAAUUAAUAUAAAUAAUUUACGGUUUACCAAAUAUAAUAUAUUAUAUUAAUCUGGGUAUAAUAUAGGCUUAUAUUUAACUUUAUAUACUUUUUAUUUUUAAUUUUAUUCUUGCAGUUUUAAAAGUCGCGUGCGGAGUUUAAGAGCCCGUAAAAUUAUUAAUAUAAUUAACCGUAGCUAAUUAUAGAAUAAAGCCAGCUUAUAAUAGGGUUUGCUUAUUUACUAUAACGUAAUAUUUACAUUUUUUAUUUAUUAAUUAUUAAUAAAACAAAUAUUAUUUAUUUUAUUAUAUAUUUUAUAAGAAUAUUAUUUCCGUAUUUUGGAUUCCGGGUUACGUUUUAAUACCGGAAUUCGUUUUUUACAAAACUUUUUCGACCUUUUCCAUUUUGUCGGGAAAAAUAAUACUAAUUAAAUAAAUAUUAAUUCUUUUAAAACAUUUGGCGUUUUUAAUAAAAUAACUUUAGUAGCCGCAAGGCAAAGAAAUACCGGUACUUUUACGUUUUCCACGUAUAAUAAUCGACGUUAUUAAAUUAAAUAGAACCGGUUCGGCGUUUGCUUUAUAUUAUAUCACAUUUGUUCCGCUAAUUAUUUUUAGAACGUAAAUAAAUUCUAAUAAUUUCGUCGUUUUAAUUUAUACUAAAAAUAGCGUUUUCAACCAUAUGUCAACCAGUUUUCCCGCACCUUUAAAAUCAGGCCCCUAACUAACUAAAAUAGUAUAUAAUACGUAUUUAUUUUUGGGGUUUUCCAACCUUCCUAUUUUUAAUGAAAAAUAACCGGUUUGUUAUCCCCGGUAAACGAAUAUAAAAGGUUUUCAAAUAAAAGAUUUGAAAUUAAAUAACAAUUUUAUUAUUAUUUGUAUUAUAUUUUUCAUGAAUAUAUAAUCGAUUUUUGCAAGAAUAAUAUACUUUAUUAUAUAUCCAGAAUUUCUUUUCUCUUAGGAAUAAAUUUCGUAAAUCUUAAUAAAUUAGUUUCGCUAAAAACAGUUUGUACUUAAUAUAAAAUCCGCACUUUUCUUGCCGUCUGCGUUUCUUCCCUUUAUAUUAUAGAAAACGACUUACAAAUGGUUAAAUAAGGUCUUCAGGGCGUAAUUCUUAUCAAACCCGCCGUCUUACCAAAAAUUUCAAAUGAGACGUUUUAUUAUAUAAAUAAAAUAUUUAACGUUUCAAAUUAAAAAAUUUAAUUAUUAAUAGUUAGUCUUUUGUAUUUAUUAGCGUUAUAACUUAAUGUAAAUUUAAUUGUAACUUGUAUAUUUAUACCCGCCGCUCUUUUCUUAUACAAAUGCAAUUAUUAUUUAUUUUUCAAAUUGUUAUUUAUACUGGCACCCAUUGCAAAUUAAAUUAGUUAAUACCGCAAAAUUAAUUUGAAAAGGUUAUUUUAUUACUUCCAGCAAACUUUACCUUUCCGGGGCCGCAUUUGAAAAUACGCCAGCCAUUAUAUUUUUUCUAGUAAAUAAUUAGGCAAAAGUAUUUUAUUAUAUUGCGGUAAAUUAGGUUGAUAAAUCCCAAACCUUAUAUUUAAUAUUACGCACAAAUUUAUUAUUACUGUUUGCUUAUUACUAAUUGCGUUUCCUAAUUUUGAAAACUGUAAAAGUUUUAUAAAGUCCUACCCUGGUAACGUAUUUGGGAUGGAAAUUUAUAAAUUUAAUAGUUUAUAAAAUUUAAUAUAUUUGAAAUGCGUUUUGCAUAUUAAAAAGUUCAAUUCUAUUAUAAAUAUUGCGGAUACUAUAUAUACGCGGCCAGACUUUAAGCAAUUAUACCGGUAUAUAAUUGGUUUUGUAUUAAAAUCAAACCCCCUAAUAUACAAUUACAUUUUAUAAUUGCGUAUAUUUAUAUAUUUCCACUUGCCAAAUUUGAAAUUCUUUUCGCCUUGUAAUAUAUUUCAAAGAUUUGUAAUAUUAACCCAAGUAAAUUUAACCUAAUAUUUACAAACACCUUUUCAAUAAUACGCAAAAAAUAUAUACGUAUUAAUAUUCGAAAAAAGAAAUUUCAUAAUAUUAUUAGCGUAUUAAAUUUAUUAUUAAGUAUAAUAAUAAAUUAGUGGAAGAGCUAUUUUCGUUAUGUAUUUCGUUAAUUAUUUCUUCUUACUAUUUAACUUGAAGCUUAUUUAAUAUAAAAUUUAUAUUUAUUACUUACCCGACCCCAAUAGUGUUCCGUAUAAUAACUGGCACAAUCCGUGUUUUUAUUAUACCGGUAAUAUUUAAUAUAACACUCCCUUAAUAAUUUUAUCUUCUACUUUUGCGGAUUAUCAAAUAUUUUAAAUUCUGCGAAUAUAUAUAUUUUCUUUAUAAAUUUUGCGGUUAUUUCACUUACCACCUAAACUUUUAUCAUUUCCCCUUUUCGGCUUUUGUUUUUUUUUUUAAAUAUUUAUUUAGGGUAAUUGGUAAACCCUUUUAUAAUUUCCUCGUUCCGGCGUUGUGGGCGUAUUCGCUAAGUAAUUAUACGGCCAAAUUACUUUUUACAAUUUACUUCUACUUUUAAUAUUACUUUAUUACUUAUAUAACAAACUUUUUUUUAUUACGAAUAUAUUAUAUAAUAUUAUAAUAAAUAUUGAGAUAUUAUUAUUACCUAAAGUCUAAUUUGCUAACAACUAAUUAAAGAAAGGUAAUUUGUUUUACUUUUGAAAUUCGAUUAAGUAUUUAAAUUAUAUAUAAAAGUAAAAAGUAUAAAUUUAUAAGAUAUAUAAUUAGCUUUGGUCACAAUUUAAUCAUUCGCUUUACUUUAUUAGUUAUAAGUAGUAGCUUUAUUUAUAUAUUAAGUUUAUUUCAGGUAAUGUUUAGAAUAUAAUGCUUGGAACUUGAAAAGGUAUAUAUAUAAAUAUUGUAGCAGUUUUUAUCCAGUUAAUUAAAUAAAACAUGAAUGUAAAACUUUACUUUAGCUGAUAUAGUAUUUUAAAAAUGCUAAUUUAAGUACCUUCUAUUAGUAUAAUAAUUAGAAAAUAACCUUAUUUGUAAAUAUAUUUAUUAAACUACAAAAUAAUAAAACAGGCAUUUGUUCUUUUUCCUCUGUUAGUUUUAUUUUUGAAAACUGGUAUUUUCCGGGCGAAAAAUUAAAAAUAAGUUUCGGAAAAGAUAUUUAUUAUUUGAACACCCAGCUUUUCUUAUAUAAAGGUUUAAUAACGCUUUUGUUAUUAUAAUCCCAAACUAAUUGCGAAAUUUAUAAAGUUGUUAUUUUUUAUAAUUUACGUGGUUAUUUAUUAAUUAUAAUAAAAUAGGCUAAUAACAAACCUACAAUUAUUAUAACCAGGAGACGUAUAACUUAGGAACACGUUAUUUUGUAAAGCGCUAGGCAAUUUGUUAAACCACAAAUAAAUUGUCCAAUUUGAAAUUAUUCUUAUCUUACCAAAUUAAAUUUGAAACUUAAAUCCAAAAUUAUACGGUUUUUAUAAUAAAAUACUGGCUGUUAAAUAUACUAAUAGCCCCGUUGAAUUUGCUAGAACAUCUGGCGAUUUUCAAAAAUAAUAAUAUUAUAUUAAAAAGCAUAUUAAAUAUUAUUAUUACAAUAUACUAAAUAUUAUUAUUACAAUAUAUUAAAUAUUGUUAUUAUAGCAUAUUAAAUAUUAUUAUUACAAUAUAUUAAAUAUUGUUAUUAUAAUAUAUAUAACGGAUUAGUUUCCGGUAAUAAGUUUUUAACUAAUUUAAUUGCAAAGUUAAGUAAUUAUGCAUAAUUUAAAUAAAUGCAUAUUAUAUUAUAACUUUACCAGGAGUAAUUAUUAGAGAAGUAAAUCGGGAGUGCAAAUUUAAUUAUAAGAAAUUAAACUAAAGUUAAAAUCCCAGAAAGUUAAAAUCAGUAAAAUUUAAAAAUAUUUAACCCACUGAAAAAAAGCGUACGAAACUUUUUAAAUUUUUGAAUUUUGAGGGUAUAAUAACUUUUGAAUAUUUAUAUAUAAUAAAAUUAGUAAUAUUAUUAAUAAGUAAAAAUACCCGAUUUGAAUAACGAAGCGCUUGAAAACAGGUUUAAUAUAUAAAUUAGUAUUUACAAAGAUAAUAUUAUUAGUAAAAUUAAAGUAACAUUAAUAAAUUGAAGAUAAACUAAUAUAAAUUCCCGUGAAAUUAAUAUUAUUGCAACAAACAAAAUUACUAUUGUAAUUAUUAUCUAAUAAGAAAUAUUUGUAAGAUUGGAACAUAAUUAUUUUAUUCAUAAUUAAUAAUAUUUCCAAUAAUAAAUUUACUAUAUUAUUAAGCAAUUAAAACAAAAUAUAUAAUAAGAUUUAUAAUUUAUAUAAAUUAUAAAAGUUUGUAAUUGUUCGAAUAGAGAGGAUUGUGUUCGAUUUAUUAAUUUAAUCGAUAUUUACGUGCGCUGCCCCACAGGACCCGCACGUAAGCUAUUCAAUCCUCGACCAGGGAUAUAAAGGGAAAAAAAAACUAGAAAUUCGAGCGUAAAUAAAGUAGUUUAGUUAGUAUUUUUUAAAAGAAUAUAAAAAACCAAAAUAAAAGUAUAAAACCUCAAUACCGUUAUUUUACAAAUAUUUAAAACCAAUAGUAUAUUUUACGGUUAAUUUUUUGAAAAAAACGUUAAUAUUCGUUAAAACUUUUGUAUUGGACGUAUAACAUUUAGCCAAACGUUACGUAAAAAAUACAAAAAUAGCAUCCGUCCUAACUAAUUAGGGGUUCUUGGAUUUUGCGAUUUGGGCCGGCUAUUUUAUAAUUAAUAACCAAUUUGAGCAAAAUAAUAACAUUCCGUAAAAAACAAAAAACGGCACGACAAAAACACAAUCGGGUUUCCAAAAUAAUAACGAAUGUUAAAAUAUAAAACGAACCCAUUUUAAUACAAUUAUAUCGACGUUAAAAAACACCGGCAUUUUUCAAGAAAAUAUCGAAGUAUAUCUUCCUUAUAGUAAAUCUUACGAGUUUUUGAAAAAUCCAGAAGAAAUAAAUAAUAAUUCGAAAAAAUACAAAUAUUAAAAAUUAUUAACUAAUAUAACAAAGCCGGGAAAAGUUUUUUUGCAAAUACCAAAAAGAUUUCGCUGGUUGGAACUGAAAUUAUUUAAAUUAUAAAAUAUAUUAAUUUAAACAACGUUAAAAACCCGUUUGGAAACGAACGGUAUUAUAUUAUUAAAAAAGAACGAACGGCAAACGGAACGACGGAACGAACUGUUCGCGAGAAUAUUGGAAAUAAAAUAUAAAAAUAUAUCCACACCCGAAAAGACGUUUAACGUGGUUCCACUACCAAACGAAAAGAAGUAUUGAAAAAGCAAUUUUAACAAUAAUAAAAUAAUUAACAAAUUUUAUACCCAAAAACCAAAUGAUUAAGUAAACCCAACCAGAAUAUAAAAAUGGGGGCGAUCAAAAUUUUUUUUUUUGCAAAUUAGGAGAUUUUUGGAAUUUGUAACAAAGCCAAAUUCCGACGUACCUGAGCACAAAUAUAUGGAAUUUUAUAAUAAAUCGAAAUAAUAUAAUAAAUUGAUUAAAAUAAUUUUACGUACAAAAUAUUUACCAUUAUUUAUUUUCACUCCACAUUUCGAAUAAAAAAAUAAAAAUGCACAAAGUAAAAACGUUAUUAAACGUUUGGAAUAAAUUAAACAAUUAUUAAAAAGAUUAUAUAAUAUAUUGGAAAAUAAAAUUAGAGAAUUUAUAAUUAUUUGCGAAAUAUUAUUAAUAGAAUUGUCCUAUAUAUAUAUUAUUAUUUUUACAAAUGUUAAUAAAAGAAUGCCUAAACGUUUUUUAUAAUUAAUAUAAAAAUUUAUAUAACGUUUAGGAAAAUAUAUAAAGAAUUGAAGCAACGAUUUGAGGGUAUUUAUAUACGACAAAUAAAUUAUAGGAACUGGGACUUUACUAAUUUCAAAAGCGUUAAAACAAAAUUUAAUUAACAGGGUAAACGGGAUUCCGACAUUUUAAUUAUUUUAUCAAAAGAACUACAAAAAUACCACCAAAUAUUGGAGCCCAGCCUUAUAUAUAAGAAACACCUAAUAUAACAAUUUUAAAUAUUAUUGAAAACGUUCGAAAAUUUAAAAUAAUUAUUGCAUAUCCGGCGAUUAUUUUUACGAAAUUCUCGAGUUAAAUUAUAAUUAUUAUCAAAUUAGAAAAACGUCACGCAACUUAUAAUACCUUUUUCGUCAACCGAAAAUAGAAAUUAUAUAAAAAAAGGAAAUAGCAAUAAAAACCUUUACUUGUAUAAAAAGAAUAAUAAUAAAAAAUGGCUAACUUUUACAGAUAAAAGAUAUUAUAUAUGCGGCAAACCAAAACACCGGUUUUUUAAAUUAUAUGGACAAAAAGGCGAAGUUUCCGCGAACGGAAAAUCCGGGAUCGUUAAAAAGAAUAAACGCGGAAACAACCAGUUUGUAAUAACCGGGGCAAAUAAAAAGAAUAUUAAAAAAUAAAAUAACGAUUUAAACAGCGUUACAAACGUUGAAAAUAGCAAAAGAAAUUUUUGUGAAAACGGUUAUAUUUUUAUUUAUUUUAUAAAUUACAAAACCGUCAAACUCUCAACUGACAAAUUAUUCCGGUACUUUUUAAAGUAAAUAUAAAAACAAUACCAAAUUGUAAACAAACGGAAAAAAGAAAGUUUAUACCAGAUUUUAUAUAAACGGAAUAUAAACGAAACUCAGUAUAAACUUAUUUUAAAUAUAAAAGCAAUUAUAAUUUCCACGGCCGAGAUAAGGUUAUUUAAAAUAUUGCAACGCCGAAAACCAGAUAUAUAUAUUAAUAAAACGACCCCAAAUAAAGCCACGGUACGUUUCGGAAUAAAAAAUAAUAUUAUGGCAAUAGGAAAAAUAGCGUUAAAUAUUUAAAUCGGCGUAGUUACAUUCCAUGGUAAUUAACAAAUAUAUUAAUAUUAUUGUUGUUGUGAACGUUGUCUUUUAUUUAAUUUAUUUAAACGAGUGUAUCUACUUGGUUGGGUUUAUAUAGUUGAACAGAUUUCGGUACAAUACUAGUUUAAUUCUAGGAAAACAAAGUGAAAAAAUGUCAUGCGCGUUACAAAGUCGUGUUUGAGUAAGAAAGCGCGUCCGGUUAAGUAAAUAAGUGUUAUAUUUUUAACAAAACGCGGAAACAAAACCGCUGCUAGUGAUUUAAUUGCAUUCGGCCCAAUUCAAGCUCAAUGUGGCUAAUUGCUUUAUUAAAGGUUGGAAUGCACGCCUUUGUGGCUGACUGCGGUGGUUAAGUACGCGACAAUUAUAUAUUUAAAAUAUUGAUAAACUUGGUAUAUAUUUAAAAUAUAAGCAAACUUGGUAUAUAUUCAGAUAAUAUUAAUAACGAAUUUGUA